AUUGGACGCUGGCGGAAUGCUUUACACAUGCAAGUCGAACGGCAGCACGGGGCAACCUGGUGGCGAGUGGCGAACGGGUGAGUAAUAUAUCGGAACGUGCCCAAUCGUGGGGGAUAACGUAGCGAAAGUUACGCUAAUACCGCAUACGAUCUACGGAUGAAAGCGGGGGAUCGCAAGACCUCGCGCGAAUGGAGCGGCCGAUAUCAGAUUAGGUAGUUGGUGGGGUAAAGGCUCACCAAGCCAACGAUCUGUAGCUGGUCUGAGAGGACGACCAGCCACACUGGAACUGAGACACGGUCCAGACUCCUACGGGAGGCAGCAGUGGGGAAUUUUGGACAAUGGGCGCAAGCCUGAUCCAGCCAUUCCGCGUGCAGGAUGAAGGCCUCGG
rnacentral:rRNA from 1 species